rnacentral:rRNA from 1 species
GACGAACGCUGGCGGCGUGCCUAAUACAUGCAAGUCGAACGAACCGCGACUGAGUGCUUGCACUUGGUCAAGGUGAGUGGCGAACGGGUGAGUAACACGUGGGUAACCUACCUCAUAGUGGGGGAUAACAGUCGGAAACGACUGCUAAUACCGCGUAGGACAUGGAAUCACAUGAUUCUGUGAGGAAAGGUGGCGCAAGCUAUCGCUAGGAGAUGGACCCGCGGUGCAUUAGCUAGUUGGUAGGGUAAGGGCCUACCAAGGCGAUGAUGCAUAGCCGACCUGAGAGGGUGAUCAGCCACAUUGGGACUGAGACACGGCCCAGACUCCUACGGGAGGCAGCAGUAGGGAAUAUUCCGCAAUGGACGCAAGUCUGACGGAGCAACGCCGCGUGAGUGAAGAAGGUCUUCGGAUCGUAAAGCUCUGUUGUUAGAGAAGAACAGCGCAUAGAGUAACUGUUAUGCGUGUGACGGUAUCUAACCAGAAAGCCACGGCUAACUACGUG